AAGAUUAUGCUUUCAGGGAUCAUUUCUCUAGUUGGUGACUAGAGAAGGGGGCUGUGAAAAGCUGAUCUUGCUAACCACAAUGAGGAGUUGUAGUAUUUUCUUCUGAGCAUGAAAAUAGUAGAGAGUGCUGUCCUAUGACAGCUGCUUUCUGCUGUGGAAGAGUGUCUUGUUCUUUCUGAGAAGAGCAGGAGAAGGAUGCACAGUCUGAGUGGU
ensembl:snoRNA U3 Small nucleolar RNA U3